CGAGAAGUAAUGAUGGAAGUAGCAAAGAUUUUACAAAGAGUACUGGAAUUGUCUCAGUUUGUCACCUUUUGACACCUUAGUAUACAUGGUUUCAAUGCCACAGUUUCAAACAACUUUCACUUAGGAGUGUGGAAGGAAUCAGAAAUGUUAUUUGUAUCCCUUUCCUGGAUAGUGCCUAAGCAAUUGCCCUAACCACUCCAGUAACUGACUCACCUUCCAGGUUACAGAGUACAACCCCAGAAUACAAAGGUCCUCACAACCAUUCAUUCACUUCUUUUCUUUGCCUCUAACUAUCCCUGUACGUCAUUGUCCUACCUCACAGUAUUGUUUCCAUUCAGCAGAAUAAAAAAUGCCCAUAAUUAUCUCCUCUUUUGGAAGUCCUGUGCUUCUUUCAUACAGCCCAUUCAUAAGAAAACCGAGUUUCCUGACAAAAAAAAAUAUGCCUUCAG
rnacentral:lncRNA from 1 species